rnacentral:rRNA from 1 species
UUGGUGACCAGCGGAGGGAUCAUUACCGAGUUUACAACUCCCAAACCCCUGUGAACAUACCACUUGUUGCCUCGGCGGAUCAGCCCGCUCCCGGUAAAACGGGACGGCCCGCCAGAGGACCCCUAAACUCUGUUUCUAUAUGUAACUUCUGAGUAAAACCAUAAAUAAAUCAAAACUUUCAACAACGGAUCUCUUGGUUCUGGCAUCGAUGAAGAACGCAGCAAAAUGCGAUAAGUAAUGUGAAUUGCAGAAUUCAGUGAAUCAUCGAAUCUUUGAACGCACAUUGCGCCCGCCAGUAUUCUGGCGGGCAUGCCUGUUCGAGCGUCAUUUCAACCCUCAAGCACAGCUUGGUGUUGGGACUCGCGUUAAUUCGCGUUCCUCAAAUUGAUUGGCGGUCACGUCGAGCUUCCAUAGCGUAGUAGUAAAACCCUCGUUACUGGUAAUCGUCGCGGCCACGCCGUUAAACCCCAACUUCUGAAUGUUGACCUCGGAUCAGGUAGGAAUACCCGCUGAACUUAAGCAUAUCA